UUCUGGGUAUGAAUAGGAUUUUUCAUCAUAAAUCCUUCAGAGUAGUCAUGGAUCAUUGUAUUGCUGAGAAUGGCAAAGUCAAGAAUAAUAAUACUUCUUAAUCUCCACCUUAUCCAUUUAGUCCCUUCUCCUUCACCAAGCUUUGGCAGGGCCAGCCGUACCCCUAGUUCUAUUUUGUGUCUUGGAGGAAAGUGAGAAGUUUGUUCUCCUUAGGCUUGGUAGCUUAAUAGUGCCAGCUCCUUUUGCAGGGCUUAGCUAGGUAACUUGGGGAAAGUCAGAAAUGAACACUAGCACAUGUGUAGGGCUGUACCAGGCCUGAAGUUAAGGAGAUUGGCUUCCAGGUGAUGCAGGAAACUGAGGCUGAAGAUUUAAUUUCCCAGGGUAGGGGAAGGCUGAGAUGGCUCUAAAGUCCAGCACCUUGGGAAACUGCAUCAGAGACUAUAGAAGAGGGGAAAGAGCCUGAAGUUAGUAAAGAUCUCAGGAGGAAGAAAAUUUACUCUGAGCACAAACCUAUAAACAAAUAAGGGAGAUAAUAACAGAAGGGAAGAUGAGAAGAACUUACUUUGUCAUUAGAGGUAGACACCAAGCAAGCCCUUCAGACAGCACAUCUCCAGGAUAGAUGACAAGUUAUGUGAGAGGGAAAGGCACCAGGAUAGGGGAGUAAAAGGAAGCUGUUUCCAGAUGUUGGUCUUAGUUGUGGUUUGUCGCAAGUCAGGACACAGACAUGGGAGAGAGAGACCAGACCAGGAUUAGAUCAGGACCAAAGACAUAUGUACCAAGUGGAGAAGCAGCGACUGUUGGGAAGAGAAGCAAGCAGGGCAAUGUGGUUUGUCCAAAGACUCCGUAAGUCAGUGUAAGUUGUCAGCAGACUGAAAAAAAGACAGAAAAGCCGUGGUGACAUUCAUAGUUAAAGAGGUUUGUCUAUUGGAUCUUGCAGGGAGGUGCCGUUAUUUACAGCAUAGGGGACUACUGAGGUCAGAUACAAGCUUUAGACAGAUUGCUUUGGUAGGGAAUGGAAAAUGGACUGGGCCAGGACGUGAGGUGAGGGAGAGCAAAGAAGCAGAAGGCCUUUGCUGCUGUUCAGGAAGUGAGGUAAUGAGGGCUUGUAUCUGGCUGGGGUCUGCUUGAGUGGAGAGAAGGGGAUGUCUCUGAGAGAUGUGCUUAAGGAAGAAAUGAGAUCCAACUGGGAAAAAUGGUAUCUUGCCACAUUUUAUUCUUGCUAUGUGAAUAGACUGAGAAAACAGUUGCAAAUGUUCUAGAAGUUAGCUCCUAAGUUUAUCAGGAGGAAAAAAGAUGCCUCAGAUACUAACAACGCAAUCAAGAAAUUCUAGGUCCCGGGCAGUGCGCUAUUUAGUAUGGAAACAAAAAAUGGCCAAAAGAAUCUGAACCUUGAGGAACUAAUAUUGUAAUAGGAGGAAACGAGAUGCGAACAACUGUGGACAUUCCAUAUACCAUAAUAAGAUGAGAGGAAAUGGCUUUAGAAUUGGAGGGGAUACAGUGGGGGAGCUGCUUCUUGAAGGUGAUGUUUUAGCUGAGAGUUGAAUUAAGCCUAGAAAUCCAGGAAAGUGAUCAAGAAAGACUAGCUGACAGAAAAUCCAUGGGAAAGAUAGUAUCUGAUAGGAUAGUGGAACACUAAGGGAGGCUAGAUUUCUUAGAGAGACCAUGAAGCAGUGUAAGGGUUAGGAAUAUUGGGAUGGUAAGAUGAGGAAAGGGACCAGAGAGCAUUCAUUGUAAGAGCAUUUUGCAUCGAAUUUUAUAAGUAGUAGCGUGGUGCUUGUAUUUGUAGAGUAACACGGUCCUUCCUGAGAGUUAGGUAGCUAGAUUGCUUUGCCAGAUGAAUGGGAAAAAAAGAAUAAGAGUGGGAAGUGAUUGGAGGUAGGGAGAAGUAGAAGGCUAGUGCUAUUUUUCCAAAAGAGAGGUAGUGAGGGCUUGGAUCUGGGUGGUGUCUAUGUGAAUGAAGAGAAAGUAGAUGAGUCUGGGAGAUGCGUUCAAGAAAGAAUGAGAAUAUUUUGGGGAGAUAGAAAGGAUAAAAUGCAACAAAAUGUGUACACUUAGACCAAAUUGUUGUUGUGUCGUCAUUUUGGUCAUCUGACUUUUUGUGAGCCCAUUUGACAUUUUCUUGGCAAGAAUCCUGGAGUGGUUGGCCAUUUCCUUCUCUAGCUCAUUUUACAGAUGAGGAAACUGAGGUAAAUUGGAUGAAGUGACUUGCCCUGGAUCACAUAGCUAGGAAGUGACCAUGACUGCAUCUGAACUCAUACACAGUUGUCUUCCUAAUUCCGAGCCCAUCGCUCUAUCUGCUGCACCACCAAUCUGCUCUGAAAGCAUCUAGAACACUUUAUUGUUAUUGUGGUUCCGUCGUUUCACUUGCGUCCGGUUAUUCCUGGCUCCUUUUGGGUUUUCUUGGCAAAGAUGCCCGAGGGGUUUGGCAUUUCUUCCUCCAUCUUGUUUUUCAGAUGAGGAAACUGAGGCAUACAUGGUUAAGUGAUUUGCCUAGGGUCACACAAGUAGGAAGUGAUUGAGGCCAGAUUUGAACUCAUGAAGAGUAGUCUUCUUGAUUCCAGAUCUGGCACUCAAUCCACUGUGCCAUCAACUUGUCCAAAAUGAAUAUGCAACAUUUUGUUGUUCCUUCAUUUCUAUAUCAUCUAUCUAACCCCUUUUGGGGUUUUUUUUGGGGGGGGGAACAAAGACGCUUGUCAGAUUUGGCAUUUCUUCCUCCAUCUUGUUUUGUAGAUGAAGAAACUGAGGCAAAUAGGGCUAAGUGACUUGCCCAGGGUCACACAGCUAGGAAGUGACUGAGGCCAGAUUUGAACUCAUGAAGAGUAGUCUUCUUGAUUCCAGAUCUGGCACUCAAUCCACUGCGCCAUCAACUUGCUCAAGAUGAAUAUACAACAUUUUGUUGUUUUGUCAUUUCUGUCUCAUCUAUCUGACCUCUUUUGGGGUUUUCUCGGUAAAAAUGCUUGUGGGAUUUGGCAUUUCUUCCUCCAUCUCGUUUUACAGAUGAAGAAACUGAGGCACGUGGUUAAAUGAGUUGCCUAUGGUCAUAUAGCUAGUAAGGGUGUGAGGCUGUAUUUGAACUUAGAAGACUAGGUACUCUGUCCACUGCAUCACCUAGCUGCCCUAGAUUGAGUGAACAGUUGCAAAAGUUAGGGAAGUUGUCAUCUAGAUUCAUUGGGAGGAUGAUGUUGUGUCAGUGAAAUCAAUAAGUCAAAUCAACCAAUGUUUAGUUAGGAAAUAUUUUUUAGGCCUCAGGCAGUGUUCUAGGAGAAAAGGGGCCAAUACAAUCCCCGCUUUGAGCUGCUCGUAUUGUAAUUGGAGGUUGCCAUUUAACAACUCUAGACACUUGGUUGUUUAAAGGGGUCGGAGCGAAGAAAGGGAUCAGGCUGCUUUCAGAAGGUGAUAUUUUAACUGAGACUUGGUGAGAGGCAGGAAAGCCAGAAAGGUGACUCAUAAAAGAACAGUCCAAGGCAAGGUGAUGAGAAGGCCAUGGAAGAUGUAGAGUACGCCGAUGGGAUGUCCUUUGGGAGCAAGGCUAAUGUUGGGGGAUCAGAGAAAACAGGAAGUAAUGAAGGUCUAAGAGUGUUGCAAAUAUAAAGUAGAGGAGAAGUUGGAGAGAACAUUAUAGACAAUGGAUGUUUUAUAUUGGAAAAGAGAGAUUAAUUAGGGAGCCAUUUGCAUUUAUAGAGCAAUGUGGUCAGAUGUGACAUUAGGAAUAUUCCUUUGGUGGGAGAAUGGAGAAAAGAUUUAGUGGAGAGUGAUUUGAGGCAGGAAAAACAAGCAGAAGGCUGUUGGCAUUGUCCAGAUGAGAGAUAACGAGGGCUCGUACUAGCAUAGAGUCUCUGUGAAUUUGUCUGGUGAUGUGGGGAAGGGAGGAGGGAGGCAGGAUGUGUGGAGGCUCGGCCAAAAUGGGGAGGAAGAACAUGGCACGGCAGAAACACAGGGGGGUCAGACGUGGUAUGGACAGAAGUGGGUGGCGCCGAUGACACUUGGGAAUUGGGGGACAGAUGUGCAGUCCCUGAGAAGAGGGACCAGUUGUGCAGGUAUCUGUGGGUGGCUGGCAAAAUUGUCCUUUCUCAGUGGAUGUCUCAAGCAAAGUGGAGGUUGUGGUCUCUUUUUGCAUUCGUUCUUUUGCUCUUAUUUGGAGAUAAUUUUUCUUUGGUUCUUGUUGACAUUAGGAGGCUAUUGCGUUCCGAGACAAGGGGUGGGAGCAGAGAAAGAGCCCAGUACUGUUGUUGGACCUUCCUUUUGGAAGAGGACCAAUAACACCCCAGGGUGAGGUCUUUCCUUGGUUGUGAAUUGGAUUUAAAUGUCCCAGAAUUGCAUAGUUAUCAGCCUCAUUCUUUCUUCCAGAGUCAUUGAAGUUCAGGGUGUUCCACCUGGCCAAUGAUGGCCUGGGAUGACGUGGUUGACCUCAGGAUCUCUCACAGUGUUUACUUGAGUAUAGUGUUGUCCAGGAGAGUUAACAAGGCCAGUUUUUUGGAGUGCAGAUUUCUUCAGAAUUCUUUAGGUAAUUUGUAUAAUGCAAAUUUAUGUUUUUAUUUGUAUAAUGCAAAUUUAUCUAAAGUGAGAACUUUUAUUGGGAAGAUAAAAAGAUUACAGUGUAGUAAUUAUAUUCCAUAAUGAGAUCUGGAUCUAUGCCUAACAUGGAAAUCCCUGGAAGAUCUCAAGAGUGUCAGAAGGAAGCUGAGGCAAUGAAUUCACAUCUGGAAGUUCAGUAUCGAGGUGAUGGGAUCUGGCCCAUGCUUGAAAUGGAGACCCCCGGAGGACCUCAGAAAUCACAAAAGGAGGCCAGCCUGCUGGAUGGAUGAUCCAGCAUGAGGAGAUCCCAACAACUGGAAGAGGAUCAAGGAUGAGACUACAGCUGAGGCAUUGGAUCGACGUCUGGAAAUUCAGAAACUCUGCUGGAAUCGGAAUCGAGGUAAUGGGACGUGGGCCCAUACUUGAAAUGGAGACCUCUGGAGGACCUCAGAAAUGGCAAAAGAAGGUCAGCCUGGUGGAUGGAUGAUCCAGCAUGAGGAGAUCCCAACAACUGGGAGAGGAUCAAGAAUGAGACUACAGCUGAGGCAUUGGAUCGAUGUCUGGAAAUUCAGAAACCCUGCUGGAAUCGGAAUCGAGGUAAUGGGACCUGGGCCCAUACUUGAAAUGGAGACCUCUGGAGGACCUCAGAAAUGGCAAAAGAAGGUCAGCCUGGUGGAUGGAUGAUCCAGCAUGGAGGAGAUCCCAACACUUGGAAGAGGAUCAAGGGUGGGACUACAGCUGAGGCAUUGGAUCGACGUCUGGAAAUUCAGAAACCCUGCUGGAAUUGGAAUCAAGGUGAUGGGAACUGGGCCCAUACUUUAAAUAGAGACCUCUGGAGGACCAUAGAAGUGGCAGAAAGAGGCUAGCACGGUAGAGUGAUGUUCCACAGUGAGAGAAGGCCACUGAAGUUGACGGAUGUUCCAGUGUGUAGAAUCCUGAUAUACUGAAAAAGGUUCUUGGAUGAGACUAAAGUGGAGGCAUUGGAUUGAUAUCUGGAAAUUCAGAAACCUGCCAGAAUUGGAAUCAAGGUGAUGGAAGCUAGCCCAUCCUAAAAUGGAGAACUUUGAAGCAGGAGGACAGCACAAUGGAGUGACGUUCCAGGGUGAGAACACCACAUAUUGGAUGGAUGAACCAACAUGAGGGGAUCCCGACAGUUGGAAGAGGAUCAAGGGUGAGACUGUGGCUGAGGCAUUGGAUCGAUGUCUGGAAAUUCAGGAACAGUGCAGGAAUUGGAAUCAAGGUGAUGGGAGCUGGGCCCAUGCUUGAAAUGGAGACCUGGAGAAUCACAGAAGUGGCAGAAGGCGGCUAGCAUGAUGGAAUGAUGUUCCAGGAUGAGAAGGCUACCAGAGAGGGUGGAUGUUCCAGCAUGGAGAAUCCUUAUGCACUGAAAAAGGUUCAUGGCUGAGACUACAGCUGAGGUAUUAGACCGACAUCCAGUUCAGAAACGGUGCUGGAAGUAGAAUCAACGUUAUGUGACCCGGGACCGUCCCUGAAGUGGAGAAUUUUGGAGGAUCUCAGAAAAGGCAGAAGGAGACCAGCAUGGUGGACUGAUGAUCCAGCGUCGAUGGACGUUCCAGCAUGAGGAGGCCCCCGCCAUUGAAGGUCAAAGGGGAAGGGGAAAGUUUGAGGGUGAGAUAGUAAGCUGGGAAGUCAGAAAUAGAGGCAGAAGGUGAAUAGAGGUUACACAGCCCGGGCCCCUUUCCCAAAUAGGGACCUCAAAAGAGUUCACCAAUGGCUGAAAGGGGCCAGCAUGGUAGAGUGAUGUACCAAGGUUAGCAGGUCUCAAGGGAGAAGGACUGAUGUUCCAGAGUGAGGGAAGUCCAGGCUCACCCAAAGAGGUAAAACAUUGAUCUGGAAUAUGUAGCAUCUGUAGAGACAACUUGGCAAUUCUAGUUGCCUCUGAAGGACAGGGCAAGUCAACAAACCCAUAUGUGAUCAUAGAAGAAAUAGUAAAAUCAAACUGAGGUGAACUCCUGAAUGCAGAAGACAGAGCCAUUAAGUGGAAGUCGCAGGUAGCUCUGGUACAGUCUGGGAGACAGCCAGUGAGCAUAUGGGACAAGUCUAGGGAGAAAUGACAAAGCCUGCAGGGGACCAGGAGAAAUCCCUGCAAAUAGAGGAAAAGAGCUCCCGGGUGGGCUGGUCAGCAGGGAAGACGAGCCGGGGGCUGCCGUGCACGGAUGGAAGAGCACGUGUGCGUAAAUGAACGAACGAAUGGAUGAAUGAGUGAAUGAAGCAUUUGGGGAGAGAGAUGGUGGGAAGGUAAAAUCAAGCUUUUGGAGCCUUGGGGAAAGAAACCAGUCCAGCCAACCAGUCUUUAGUUAGAGCUUCCUCUGGGCCAGGCCGUGUGCUAAGCAAUGGGAAUACAAAGAAAGGCAGGGCUGGUUCCUGAUCUUGGGAAGAGAAGGGGAGGUAUCUGAGAGAGAUGAUUAAGGAAGAAAUAAGAUCCAUUGGGAAAAUAGAAAGGAUAAAUUGUGGCAACAGAUGCUAUAUGUAAAGUCAGAUCGAAUAAAGCUCUCCAGUGAUAGGUAAUCUGUCCUGAUGAUGACUAGGAAGGUGAUGUUGUCUCUCAGAAUAACAGGAAAACAAGUCAAAUCAAUUUUUCAAUAAAUACUUAUUAGAUGAGAUGAAAUGUACUAAGUAGUGUGGAAUAAAGAAGGGCCAAAAGAGUCCCAACACUUGAUGUCCCACAAAGUAUUUGGAGGGGAACACUAAGCAACCAGACUCUGUUAUCACAUAUAUAGAGUAAGUGGAAGGUAAUCUAAAAGGGAAAGACAUUGGUCUUGAGGAUAGGGUAAAGCUGCUUCUAGAUUGUGAUGUUUUAUCUGAGAUUUGAAGCAAGGGAAGAAAGCUGGGACUGGGCCAGACAGAGCAGGCCAAGACGAGGUUAUAGGGAAAGUCAUGGAAAGUGGAAAAUCUGGAGAUAGAUUGUCCAUUAGGAAGAACACUAAGGAAGGCUAUCCUUGUUGGAGCACAGAAAGCAUAGUAUAAUAACUAAUAUUGGGAAGGUAAGAUUGGAGAGAUCGUUAAUAGUCAAAAGGAAGUUUUUGUAUUUUGUAGGUACUAGGGAGCCAUGGGUGAGUUUAGGGUAAGUUGUCAGACGUGAGCUUCAGGAAGAAGCCUUUGUCAAAUGAUGGAAAAUGGACUGGAAUGAGGAGUUAUUUGAGGGAGGGAAAAUCAUUAAAACAUUGUAGUUCUUGUCUAGGGAUGAGAUGGUGAAUUAUGCAGGGAUAUAAUGUCUCAGUGAAUAGAGAGAAGUGAAUGGGUCCGAGGGAUGUGGUCAAGGAAGAAAUGAGAUAAAUUAGGAAGAUAGGAUAAAAUGUAGCAGUCAGUGCUAUAUUAGAGAGUUAAACUGAGCAAAGAUGUGCAGCUAGUCUGGACUUGUCUCUUGGGUUAUCUGGAAGGAUGAAGGGGCCCCAGGGAAGAGUAGGGCAAUCAACAGGAUGAGUCAAGGAAUAUUUAUUAAUAAGAACUUAGUAGGUAAAGGAUUGGAGUGGGGAGAGAUUUUGAGUUGGAAUAAUAAAAGCAGAAGGCCUCUGCUGCUGUCUGGAAUAGAGGGGGGGGGGGCUUGUACCUGGCUGGUGUCUGUGUGAGUGAAAAGAAGUGGAUGUGAGUGCGAGAGAGUCUCAAGGAAGAAAUAGGAUGUAUUGGAAGGCAGAAAGGAUAAAAUGUGACAGUAGAUGCUAUAGGAGGUAGCUAGAUAUUUUAUCUUCAAAUGAUAUGAACACUGAUCUCAUGGUUGACCAAGUUGCCUCAGAGAAUAACAGGGAAAUCAACAAUUAAAACAACAACUAUUGAUUCAAUAAGUACUUAUUUUGAUGAGGUCCAUU